UAAAUUUAAAUAGUGAUUGCCUAUAUAAUGCCAAGAUAAGGUUGGCGAGUUUCUACCCAGAACCGUAAAUUCUGGACUAUAAGCAAAUUGAGGACGAAA
rfam:Lactobacillus paucivorans strain DSM 22467 NODE_94, whole genome shotgun sequence.